rnacentral:rRNA from 1 species
UACAGGGGGUGCAAGCGUUGCUCGGAAUCACUGGGCGUAAAGCGUACGCAGGCGGACCGUUAAGUCGGAUGUGUAAUCCCCGGGCUCAACCUGGGAACUGCCUUUGUGACUGCAUAGCUAGAGUACGGUAGAGGGGGAUGGAAUUCCGCGUGUAGCAGUGAAAUGCGUAGAUAUGCGGAGGAACACCGAUGGCGAAGGCAAUCCCCUGGACCUGUACUGACGCUCAUGCACGAAAGCGUGGGGAGCAAACAGG